rnacentral:lncRNA from 1 species
CUUAUUUUUUCCUUUUGUUUUCUCUUUUUUUCUUCGGAAGCCCCCAGCUGCUUCCAUCCUAUAUCGCUUAGUUCAUUUCUCCUUAAUGAAUGAAACAGAUAGCUUUCUAUCUAUUUCUCAAAAAAAAUAAGCGAAUAUUCGAUAAACUAUAAGUGGGUAUUUUAAGGUUUUUAUAUAUAAUAAUUUAAUGAAAAGUUAACAAAGAGGCUGACGAAAGAAAAAAAAUAAAAUCAUAUGGCACUAAAUUGAUACAUUUUAAACUAAAGAAUAUUAAAGUGAAAAAGUGAGAAACUACAGUGGUGGUAUUUGAAAUUUACUCUAGAUUUCUAACAGGAA